CUGGUGCCAACUAUGACAUGCUAUUUGGCCACAUACCUGAUUUCCCUCUCCUGUCAAUCUGAUCUUUGCCAUGGCUGACCUUUCUGUCGGACCGAGUCUUUUGGCUUGACGUCCGUGAUGUGGUGAGGUAAAAGAAGGGCUGCAUUUACCAGAGUGCCAGAGCAGAGGAACACCCGCACCAUGCAGCGGUUGAAGACCUUGAGUGGGAGGACUUCCUGCUGUUUUGGAACCAAACUGCUGAGCAACAGAAAUGCAGUCUCGUCCACAGCUCUAGACUGUCAGACCGUUCCAUUUUGUGAUAUUUAAACAAGGCUCCAACAAGGAGGUAAAUGGCUCCAGUGAGGACAUUUGCCAGCAGCUCUGCUCUA